GUAAUUGUGGUCGAGUGGUUAAGGCGAUGGACAUGAAAUCCAUUGGUGUUUCCCUGCACAGGUUCGAAUCAUGUCGAUUACA